GGUCCGGUCGUUCAGUUGGUUAGGAUGCCGCCCUGUCACGGCGGAGAUCGCGGGUUCGAGUCCCGUCCGGACCG
rnacentral:tRNA from 3 species